GACAGAGGUGCCGAGCGUUAGGCGGAAUCACUGGGCUUAAAGCGUGUGUAGGCGGGUCGUUAAGUGUCCGUGUGAAAUCCCCCGGCUCAACCGGGGAACGGCCGGGCAUACUGGCGACCUUGGGGCACCCAGGGGCUGUCGGAACAAGCGGUGGAGCGGUGAAAUGCGUAGAUAUCGCUUGGAACGCCGGCGGUGAAAACGGACAGCUGGGGGUGUGCUGACGCUGAGACACGAAAGCCAGGGGAGCGAACGGG
rnacentral:rRNA from 1 species